rnacentral:pre_miRNA from 1 species
ACAUCCCUCCUUCGGCCGACGCGGAGGCUGCGCUCGCAGGCUGCCUCCGCGUCGGCCGAUGGAGGGAUGAACACGCUAAAAGGCAGCCUGUGAGCGCAGCCUCCGCGUCGGCCGAUGGAGGGAUGUAC